rnacentral:rRNA from 1 species
UACCAGCACCCCGAGUGGUCGGGACGAUUAUUGGGCCUAAAGCAUCCGUAGCCGGUCCUGCAAGUCUUCCGUUAAAUCCAGCUGCUCAACAGAUGGGCUGCGGAGGAUACUACAGGGCUAGGAGGCGGGAGAGGCAAGCGGUACUUUAUGGGUAGGGGUAAAAUCCGUUGAUCCAUAGAAGACCACCAGUGGCGAAGGCGGCUUGCCAGAACGCGCUCGACGGUGAGGGAUGGAAAGCUGGGGGAGCAAACCGG